CAGUCGCCGCGGUAAUACGUAGGGUGCAAGCGUUGUCCGGAAUUAUUGGGCGUAAAGAGCUCGUAGGCGGUUUGUCGCGUCUGCUGUGAAAACCCGAGGCUCAACCUCGGGCCUGCAGUGGGUACGGGCAGACUAGAGUGCGGUAGGGGAGAAUGGAAUUCCUGGUGUAGCGGUGGAAUGCGCAGAUAUCAGGAGGAACACCGAUGGCGAAGGCAGUUCUCUGGGCCGUUACUGACGCUGAGGAGCGAAAGCGUGGGGAGCGAACAGGAUUAGAUACCCCUGUAGUCCCUGUCUCUUAUAC
rnacentral:rRNA from 1 species